AACGAACGCUGGCGGCAUGCCUAACACAUGCAAGUCGAACGAGACCUUCGGGUCUAGUGGCGCACGGGUGCGUAACGCGUGGGAACCUGCCCUUAGGUUCGGAAUAACUCCCCGAAAGGGGUGCUAAUACCGGAUAAUGUCUUCGGACCAAAGAUUUAUCGCCUUUGGAUGGGCCCGCGUUGGAUUAGCUAGUUGGUUGGGUAAAAGCCUACCAAGGCGACGAUCCAUAGCUGGUCUGAGAGGAUGAUCAGCCACACUGGGACUGAGACACGGCCCAGACUCCUACGGGAGGCAGCAGUAGGGAAUAUUGGACAAUGGGCGGAAGCCUGAUCCAGCAAUGCCGCGUGAGUGAUGAAGGCCUUAGGGUUGUAAAGCUCUUUUACCCGGGAUGAUAAUGACAGUACCGGGAGAAUAAGCCCCGGCUAACUCCGUG
rnacentral:rRNA from 1 species